GCUGAAGCCGGGCCGCACAGGUCAGCACCGACCCGAGCUCUUGCGGGCGAAGAUGAAAAGAAACACGACUCUCAUUUCUGCACAGGGAGGCUUCCUGGGAUGGAGGCGCUGACCCCUGCCAUCAAGCAAUUUUCCAGCAUCUUCCUGGGCAAGAAGAAACUCUCGUUCUGCUCUCAAGAUCAUUGUGGAAAACAAACAUCACUUCAGUCAAACAGGGCGUGUGUUCUCUGCAAACAGCAAGGUUGCGUGGACGUCACCACGGAGAUUGAGAGGUGAGAAAAGCAAAGCCAAGAGCAUCAGUGUCCGACUUACGCUGCAGGUGCCGGUUAGAAGCCGUGCUGUGGGGCACACAGGGAGGAGCUCUUCACACCAGCCAACCUGGAUGCAUCU